CACCCCCUCCAGCUGCCUUUGUGUGGCUGCGGUGUUGGGGCACGUCUGCCUGGGUGUCACAUAUCGAAGCCUCCUGCCAAUUUCCUUUUGAUAGGUAUUGUGCAUGCUGGUGAAUGUUGGCCUCCCGUGAGCUCUAUUGUCUCAUGGUUGGUUGAAAAUCGAGACCUUGGUAGGGUGUGCCAUGAUAGAUGGUGGUUGUGUGACCCACGAGAAACCAAGAUCAUGUGCUGCCCUAUUCAAUUCGGCCUCUUUUACCCAUAUGCGUUUUGUAAACGCUCGUG
rnacentral:misc_RNA from 1 species